ensembl:antisense
GGCGAUGUUUCCCUUCUCUUUUACAUGCAUCCGAUUAUUAUAUGGAGUGUAUGUGUACUUUUUUAUCUGACCGUAGAACAAUCAAGACAGGUAAUUAUUUCAGAAAGCUUCCCCAGCUGGGAUUGGACGCCUGUGGAACACGUGAUUGAAUUUACCCCCUGAAAAAACUGCACAGCAGAUCAAUGCGCGCGUUCUCCUGGAACAGCAAUGCACUUCGAGCUUGCAGUAAGGUUGCUUAAUACUAAUGUUUUCUUUUUAAAAUGAGCGUAAACAUAAUAAAAGGCUUCGUUUCUAAUGUAUUAUGAGGCAAGUGAUUAACGUAGAUAGUUAUUUGAACUUAAACUGAACAGCAAAGUGUGUGUUAACGGCACUAAAAAGGCACUAUUUGUUGGUGUAAUCAAUCUCUGUCGAGCCAAUGCUACUGUGCUGUGGCUAGCCUUGUGCGCAUCUCACACUUCACAAUGUUAUUUAUUAAAUGCAAUUAGGCAAAAGAAACGGUUAUACAUGUCUUUCUCAGCUUCAGUAUUAAUUUAUACAAUUGAAAAGGACCCAAUACAAUAAUUGUGACAAAUAUAGGCGCUUGUGUUGUCUAAAGGGUUGCUUUUACGCACUGAAGUCUUAUUUUGCUCUAGUUUCAAACAAGUACAAUUGGGAUAUCCCUCAUAAAAUGAAAUUUUAAACAAAUCGGGGCGGUGGGAAUAGUAAGACGCCCGAAAACGCACCACAACUGCGGCUAUAUUCGUCAAGUGGUCGUGCAUGCUUUUAUGUCCUUCAAUAAAUUUUUACGAGGACCAUUUGAUUGUUCAUAAACGUGUCGUUAAUAAAACUGCAGUUGAGUUCCUGGUAUAACAUAAAACCAACACUACGCUUGUGAAAGAAGUCUCAUCAAACCUCUUUCGAGUAGAAGAAUGACGGUUCACUACCUCUGUUAGCUCUUAAAAUUGCAUCUGAGAUAAAGAUUUGGGACAAAUCAUCAGUAUAACACAGUCAACGUACAAUAGUAAAGUAUUUAUUGACCACUUUCUUUAUUAAUAUUACAUUUUAUGCUAUUUGCAUUUAUUUGUAAAGAUUUUCUACGUUUACUAAUUUUACUGCGAUAUUUUUGGACAAAACAUCUGCAUAACACAGCCAACAUACGUUAGUAAAGUAUUUAUUGACCUCUUUUAUUAUUAAGUGUACAUUAUAUGACAUUUGAAAUUAUUGGUAAAGACUUUCUACAUUUAUCAAAUUCACUACGAUAUUUUUUUUUUGGACAAAACAUCUGCAUAACAGCCUACACACAUUAGUAAAGUAUUUAUUGACCACCUUUAAUAUUAAUAUAAUUUUUGUGUUUGCAUUUAUUUGUAAAGACUUUCUACGUUUACCAAUUUCACCAAGAUUUUUUUUUGGACAAAACAUCUGCAUAACACAGUCUACAUUAAAUUAGUAAAGUAUUUAUUGACUUCUUUCAUUAUUAGCAUUACUAUGCCAGUUGCACUUAUUUGUAAAGACUUUCUACGUUUAUCAAUUUUACUGCAAUAUUUUGGCCAAAUCAUCUGCAUAACACAGUCAACAUACAUUAGUAAAGUAUUUAUUGACCUCUUUCAUUAUUAAUAAUACAUUUGUUUAUGGCUUUUGCAAUUUUUUUGCAAAGACUUUCUACGUUUAUCGAUUGUACUGCGACAUAUUUUGAUAAAACAUCUGCAUAAAACUAGUUACAUAAGUUAGUAAAGUGUUUAAUGUUCUCUUUCAUUAUUAACUUUACAUUGUCAUUUACAAUUGUUGCGAUUUUGUCAACUACGUUGAUGUACUACAGGGCAAAUAGUAUUUUAAAUGGAAAAAAAAUUAUAUAUAUAUAUCCCUUUAUUUUAUACCUAAAGCUUUGUGAAAUUAUUGUACUUGAAGCUUUGUAAAAUAUUUGUAAAUAUAGGUUUUUAUUUUGUUUGCAAUUUCAAGUUAUUAAAACUGGCUCACAAAUAAACAAAAUAAUUGGAUCCUAAACAUAUAUCUCAAAUAAUUUAACGGUGUACUCUUGUCAUGCAGAAAAUGAAUCCGUCUUGAACAUUUUACGGUUAACAUGCACAUUAUUAUAUAGCAAAUUUAAGAUUUUUACUGAACGUAUAUUGCGGCACUUGGAAAUCUGUGAAUUUUUGGGCUGCUGUCAUUGUCAGUGUUAGGCCCAGUAUGAAACCGGCCACAUGAGGUCAGGCUUUUUUUUCCACCCUUCUUUUGUGGGAACAUCAGACAAAUUAAUACAUAGACACGUCAAAAACACUCGAGCAAAAAAAAAAAAAAAAAGAAAAGUUAACAUUACUUUUGUAAUACAAACAGUUUUUACAAAACCUUACUGUUUAAUUAGUUAAAUAGUUUAGAGAAUUUUGGCAAAGUAAUGGGUGUAAUUGUGCACCUUUCAGCAGUAAAAGAACUUAUUAAAGUUCUUAAUUUAACAUAAUUUAAAUAAAAUUAAGUACACGCAAGCAUACUAUAUUUAAGCAGUAGCAUUUCAUUAACUCAAUUUGUGGUUUAUAAGUAGGUGUGUCAGCUUGUUGAUUAUGGCGUUGAUCUUAUUUUUUUUUCUUGCGAUACACUGCGGAGGCAAUAUAAUAUAAAAACCCUGACAGUAGAUUUCGCUUUCAGUUUUGUGAAGAGAAUUAAUCAUAUGAAGUCUUGGUGGGAUGUGGCGUAUUGUGGUUAUCAAUGCAUCUUAUCAAACUAAUAAAUUAAUUACAGCGUGACACGUACAGAACAAACAUUUAAUAGAAAACGUUCAACAACGGCAUCAUGUCUGUGUGUGUGUUAUGUGCAUACAAGUUUGUAUAAAACAUUGUCCUGCUUUUAUCUGUUUUUUCGAGGGCGUGGUACUUCAUGUUAAAGUCGCUUCUAUCACCCUUAUUAUUCACCUUUACGAUUUUUUAAAUAUUAUUUUCUCUUAUAAUCACCUCUCACAAUUGGUUUGGUGUUAAAUGAUUGUAUAAAGCUGUUGUACAGACGCAAAAAAGAUGUUUUUACGCUGUUUUAAAAAUGAAAAUAAAAUAAUAAAACCA